rnacentral:rRNA from 1 species
UACGAAGGGGGCUAGCGUUGUUCGGAAUUACUGGGCGUAAAGCGCACGUAGGCGGCUCUGUAAGUUGGGGUUGAAAUCCCGAGGCUCAACCUCGGAAUUGCCUUCAAGACUGCAGGGCUUGAGUUCGGGAGAGGUGAGUGGAAUUCCCAGAGUAGAGGUGAAAUUCGUAGAGAUUGGGAAGAACACCAGUUGCGACGUCGGCUCACUGGACCGUAACUGACGCUGAGGUGCGAAAUCGUGGCGAGCACACAGG